UCCAGAGGCCUCAAGCGUUAGGCGGAAUCACUGGGCUUAAAGCGUGUGUAGGCGGAUCGUUAAGUGUCUUGUGAAAUCCCACGGCUCACCCGUGGAACUGCUUGGCAUACUGCGAGCCUUGAGCCACUUAGGGGCAACCGGAACAAACGGUGGAGCGGUGAAAUGCGUAGAUAUCGUUUGGAACGCCAAUGGUGAAAACAGGUUGCUGGGAGUGCGCUGACGCUGAGACACGAAAGCCAGGGGAACGAACGGG
rnacentral:rRNA from 1 species